UCCUACGGGAGGCAGCAGGGGGGAAUUUUCCGCAAUGGACGAAAGUCUGACGGAGCGACGCUGCGUGAAGGAUGACGGCCUGCGGGUUGUAAACUUCUUUUCUCGAAGAAGAAGCUCUGACGGUAUUCGAGGAAUAAGCAUCGGCUAACUCCGNGCCAGCAGCCGCGGUAAU
rnacentral:rRNA from 1 species